AUUCUGGCGCAAAUGCGGCUGCGGUGUUUUUAAUCUUUUCUCGCACGCUUUACCGAAAUUGCGCGCGCUUAUUUUUGGUAAACGCUCGGCCACGAAGGCAGAGGAGCCCGUUAAGAGUCUCUGAUUUACUCCUUUCCCUUGAUCGGUUGAAAAACCGCGCUCCCCGGCAUCUCAAAGGCGCAUCAGGAGCACGAAGUGAGAACGUCCACUAAGGUUGAAAGUUUUCAAGUCAAGGUGGUAUAUACACUGCCCUGUAAACCCCAAGUGCCUGUAGUUCAGGGGAUGUGCCUCGCUCCGGAUGCUGUCAUGCCAACUGCUUGGAAAUAUUGAUACAUAAAGACAAGAAAAGCAACAUUUCAAAGUGGUCUGCUUGCUCGGUUGGAACUGGAGAACUAAGGAUUGCAACACCCACGAAGCAAACAAGUCUGAUGAAAUACUUCAUGUCAUUAAGUGGAUAACCACGGCCAUGUGUGGUAUCGUGAACAAAUGUGGCUCCUCCACAUUGUGUGGAUCAGCAAGUUUAGCAAAGAAGAUGCAAGGACUCUCGCUGUGCAAAAUUGGGGAGGACACUGAAGAUGGCUGCAACUUUAUAAAUAUUACAAAAGCUAAAUGCUGACAUUCCAACGCAACUGUGCCAUGGCAGAGAUUUGCUGCAUGUUGGGCUAUGUUUGGCUCAUGUGCUCAUGGGAGCCUCAUCUACUGAUGGAGAGCACUUUCUGUGUGGAAGCUUCUUAGGUUUUUCUGUUGGAGUAUCUCUAUUGAAAAUUAUGAAGAGAAAAAAUGUGAUUUUACCAGUGCAAAAUACGAGAAUUAAAUUUGCUUUGAAAGUUCUUACUGUUAAUUGCAAAUUUUAAUGUGAUCUCAGUUUUCUUUAAAGUACUGUGAAAUGUGUAAACAGCUGUGAGAAAUUCAGAAGUGAAUUUUUAGCUGAAAUUCCAGAAACAUGUGAUGUGCACAGUGUCAUCACUCUACAUAAUUAUUUGUGUCCUUCUGAAAUAUUCUUGAAAAUAAUUUUAUUAAAGCUGUUAAACCUGGUUUGAACAAUCUAUGUUGUAAAAAUGUAUAAUUUCCACAGCAAUAAUAUUGCUCUAUCUGUGUAUAGUACUUAUGUCAUCUUGCAUAUUAACUCUAAUCCUGAUGAAAGUAAACUAGGCAGUCUGCAGUCAUUCAACUCUGCAUGCAGCAAGCAUCGUGCUAGCUUGCUACAUUCCGGUGGUAACAUAGCUUUGAGUCUUUUUUUAACAAAGUGUUGUGAUCUUCAAAUAAUUGUGCUUUGUGGUGUAUUUUUUUUUGUGUAUGAAUGUUUUGUGGCAAUGUCUGAGUAGUCUCUUAUAUUGUAAUUAGCUGUUGUGGAACUUAUUAGAUCUCUCACCUGGAACAAUUAGUUCUCUCAUCUCAUCAGUACUUUCAUCCAGAUGUCUCUCAGUUAUAAAUGGCAUGUACCUUCAU
rnacentral:misc_RNA from 1 species